CCUCUGAGAGCGAGAGCUCCGCGAAAGGAACCGAUCUGGGAGGAAUACUCUUGUGAUGGGAUGGAGACAACCGGUCUGGGACCGCCGGGGAGAAACGAGGGGAGAGGAGGAAGGGAGAUGUAGACCAUCUAAAGGAGAGGGAGAUGAGAUUCCUGGGAAGCGGAUUCUGGACAACUGCAUUUCUUUUGGAGGAUCUGUCCUUAGUUGGAUAAGAAGAGUUCAGAGAAGCUCCCUCCCUGCAUUUGCCGCUCUCCAAGUGAACAGUUCAAAAGUAAUCAGCACAGCAAAGCAUCGGAUUUGGGGCCGGUAUUUCCUGAAUCCCUUCAAAAACAUACUGAUUUGUUUAACACGAGUUGUGUAAUACUGGAGCCCUCAUAAGGAAAUGAAGACACAAAGAAUGAAUGUUUUAGGUUGAGCAAAGAAAGGCAAUUGUGGGAAAGUAAUUAAAAUAUAUGGGACGUAGGGAAAGAUAAGAAUUAUUUUAAUAAAGUCUGGUUGUUAUUUUUGA